AGACGUCUACAUUAGGAUACCCGCGUAGUCCCAGCCGUAAACUAUGCGCGUUAGGUGUAUCGGUGACCACGAGUUACCGAGGUGCCGAAGGGAAACCGUGAAACGUGCCGCCUGGGAAGUACGGUCGCAAGGCUGAAACUUAAAGGAAUUGGCGGGGAGCACCACAACAGGUGGAGCCUGCGGUUUAAUUGGACUCAACGCCGGGAAGCUCACCGGAUAGGACAGCAGAAUGAUUGCCGGGCUGAAGACCCUGCAUGACUAGCUG
rnacentral:rRNA from 1 species